AAGGUAGCAUAAUCACUUGUCCCCUAAAUAGGGACUAGAAUGAACGGCUAAAUGAGGACAAAACUGUCUCUUACGGACUAGCCAAUGAAAUUGAUCCUCCAGUACAAAAGCUGGAAUAAACACAUAAGACGAGAAGACCCUGUGGAGCUUCAAAACCAAAACCACUAAGUAUGGCUCUUAGUUUUUUAGUUGGGGCGACUUUGGAGUAAAAAAAACCCUCCAAAAAAUCAAUUUAUUUAUUAAGACUAACACAUCAAAAAUAAUUUUUAGACCCAGCAACAUUUGUUUGUCUGACCAAUGAACCAAGUUACCCCAGGGAUAACAGCGCCAUCCUCUUCUAGAGUCCCUAUCGACAAGAGGGUUUACGACCUCGAUGUUGGAUCAGGACACCCCUAUAGUGCAGCCGCUAUAAAAGGUUCGUUUGUUCAACGAUAAAAGUCCUACGUGAUCUGAGUUCAGACCGGA
rnacentral:rRNA from 1 species